UACGUAGGGUGCAAACGUUGCUCGGAAUCAUUGGGCGUAAAGCGUGUGUAGGCGGCCUGUUAAGUCGGGUGUGAAAGCCCCGGGCUCAACCCGGGAAGUGCAUUCGAUACUGGAUGGCUUGAGUUUGGGAGAGGGAUGCGGAAUUCCAGGUGUAGCGGUGAAAUGCGUAGAUAUCUGGAGGAACACCGGUGGCGAAGGCGGCAUCCUGGACCAACACUGACGCUGAGUGAGCGAAAGCCAGGGGAGCAAACGGG
rnacentral:rRNA from 1 species